CUUUUUCUCUCUUCUUUGUGGCAUUCAGUACGCUGUGUCUACUCUCUCUCUUCUGAGUUCUGCCACAAGAAGAAAAGUCUUUUGCAAACCAUGCUAGACGAGACCACCCCGGGAUCCCGCGCCAAAAUUAUAACCCACGCCACUCCCUUCCAAUCCUGCCUGACACAAUAGCGUGUCAGCGUGCCCUCUUUUCUUGAUCCAACGGACUGCAUUGAGAAGAGAAAUGAAGGGCAAGGAUGUUGCCAGAAGUGUUGAUAGGUAAAGUCUUUAGGGUUUCUGUCCACUGCCCACUUGUUAUCAGCGUCGAAAGAUAGAGAAGGAAGGGUUUUUGGGUAAAAGAAAAUUGGGGGCUUCACGAGAGAGAGAGAGCAAGGAUUAUUCGCAAGGGUUUAAGAGAAAUGGAUGCUGGAGUGAGGUUUCAAAGGAGGAAAGCAGAAGUUAUGGCAGAACAAAGACAAACCUUGGGUUUAGCAAGCAGAUGCUGCCAGUUGCAAAGCAGGAGGAUUUUAGCAGAUCUUGUUUAGGUGGAUUCCAUCUGUAUUUGGACUGUCACCGGGAGAUGAGACUCUCAUAUCAUGCACAGCAACUCCUACGCAGUUGUCAAACUUGAGGUGGCAUUGCGGGCUGUUUUGAAUUGUUAUGCCUGUGACUGUCACAUUGAAACUUCCAUAAAAUCUCAGUGCCUGCAAAAAGAAAGCAUGUCAAUCAUGUUAUAAAGUGCGUGCUCAUGAAUUGCGAUAGAAAUCUUCAUGAAGUCCAUACUGUGGGCUUGAUGCUUGGCAUUUUCCCGUCGAGCUCGUUUCUUAUCUGCAACACAAUUCAGAAAAGAGGCAUGAUCAGAUUGAUAGAUACUGCAGAUAAUAAUUGCAGUGGAAGGUACAAAUUGAAGCCAAUUACCGGCAUUGGUGGGUGUUGUUGUACUGUGUUGUUCAGUGGAAUAAUGAGUUCCGAUUCACUGUCUAUAGGAUCUUCAAAUGGGUAGUCUUGCCACCAUACUGAGCCACUCCCAUCUAUGGUGCCUUUUCCCUGAAUUGUGAUUCCGACAAGCUUGGUGAAUUCAAGCCACUGCAAGAGACCUCUACCCCAAGCAUUGGCGUUUGAUGGGGCAAUAAUUGUGCCAUCCAACUGAGAAAAAAAAUUCAUCGUAUCAUCAUUCAUUAACAUGAAUUACUGUCGUUUUCUCUGCUAACAAAUUCUGUAUUUGACACUUACUUGAAAUACAAUGUUUGCUUGGCAGUACGGACCAGAGAAAGAAAUAGGUCCCACGAGGAAUGCAUAUUCUGCUGGAACAAUCAUCGUUGAUGCUGCCACUUUACAAGCUGCUGCCCAUGCAGCUUGGAAUGCCUGCGUAGCACCGUAACUCUAUGUCAACCAACUGUAUAGUAACUGUAUACAAUUAUUGUUCAUUUUUAAGGAAUGGACCCCACCUUGGGGUGGUUCUGCUGUCUUUUCCUUUGUAUUAUUUGUCGGUGUUUUGGAGCUGUUUCAAUGUGUAAUUCUGUAAUUUUGGUGAAAUCAAUUUGGUGCACAGCAUUGCUGCAAGAACUGUGGAGUGGAGCAAAUAACUCACGAGUCAUGGCUGGUGGGGACGGAUGGGGAUUUAAGGUAAGGAGAGAAUUAGUCCAGUUAUGUAAUUUUGAAAAUUUAAUUGACCUUUGGAAUUGUAUGAACCAAAGAAAAAAAAAUGUAUUGAAUGCAGCUGUAAUGUACUCUUGGAAUCAUCGAGAAUUUUGUUUUUGGUGUUU